CUCUAAAACCCUGAGCUCACUCACUUUUUGUGUACACUCCAAAAUGGUGAACGUCGCCGGCGACGACGAUGAUGAUUUCGGUGAUAUCUACGCCGACGUAUUAGUUCAAGCAAGUUCAGCUAUCAAUGCUCUACAGAGUUCAACGAAGGUUCAAACGGAAGUUAAUGAGGUUAACUACAAUGCUGCUGUCGGAAACUGUAAUCGUGAAAAUGCUGUAAGAGGAGAAGAGGAAUGUGAGAGCGAGAGUGGAGAUGACUUGAACAUACUGUUGAAUGAUGAUGAAGGUGAUGAUAAUUUUCUCAAUGCUGGAUGUGAUGAGGAUGAAACUGAGGGAAAUGGAGGUUUUAGUGUUAGUGAUAAAGGAAAUGGUUUAGGACAGAAUUCAAAUGGCAGCGGAAGUGGCGAUGGAGAGAAAAACAGUUACAAGAACACAAGACCACCACAAGCAGCAUACUCAAGUCAUCUCAAAGCCAAUAGAUCUUCUUGUGCGCCUUCUUACUCUACAGCAUUUGUCAAGGGCAAAUGGGAGGAUAAUAGCUACACACAAAGGGUGGGCUCAGGCUUUGCUGCUCAAAAUGGACAGAGCUUCUCACUUCCUCGGUCGAGGAAUAUAUUGGACGUGAAUAUUGAUAUGUUUGAGAAGAAACCUUGGCGGUAUCCAGGCACUGACUUGACAGAUUAUUUUAAUUUUGGCUUUGAUGAAGAUAGUUGGAAACAGUAUUGCAACUGCCUGGAUGAGCACCGAGAUCAAGCAAAAAAGAUAGUCAAAGAUUCAGACUACAAGACUUCGAAAAUUAGUAAGCCAAAAGGUAGAGAAAUAGAGGUGGAAGAGAGCAUGAUUGAGCGCCGACCAUCAACAGAUGUGGGACGUCCACAGUAUCGGGAUUCUGGUGUCGUCAUACAGAUUGCUUUGCAGCAGUCAAUGGAAGAUCCCAUAAGUUCUACAAAAGAGCAGCGGGAAGCAUCUGAGAAUGGAGAUGUUGUUGGGGGAGAUAGAAAGGAGUUUCUCUGUUUCAGUAGUGCCAGCGAAGAUGAGUUAACCAGCUUGGAAGGAAUUGGAGAAGGAUCAGGCAAGUCUACAUCUGGAAGGAUUACACCUGUUUGUGAGCACGUGUCUAUGGGUUCAGAUAACUACGGAAAUUCUGAGUUCUCUGAUGCAGAUGAGCGACACCACCAAGAGGGGACCUACUGUAAUGUUGAUCAAACCUCAGGAGCAAUUAGAUCUUCUCAUGAUGCAAAUAAAAGCAGUGAGAGAGACAUAUCUGAUCCAAGACAACCUAUAAAGUUGCAAGAACCACUGCAUGGUGGAGGCAGAGAGCAUAGCCCAGGUUCAUCUUGUUGUUCUCUAAGUCAUGGUGGCACAUCUGGAGAUGGGACUUUUCUUGACUUAGAGAAAUCUCAUGAUCAUCAUACAAGGUUAUUAUCAAACACAGAAUCUGAGUUACGGGAGAAGGGUACAAUUGAUUACCAGCCAAUUUAUGGAACCAAUCAUAACAGAACAAAGUCUGGUGAUCCUAAAUAUUUUACACGAGGUAGAAGGUCUGUGCAAAGAGAACUGCUGCAUGACAGAAGAAGACCUGGUCGAAUGAGUGGAACAAUUCCUGCUCACCUGAAAGAUGAGGAUUCCCACAAAUCAGAUGCUAGGAUACUGUAUGAAAGGCGUAAUUCAACUGUGAUCCGAUACAGACAGAGAGAUAGACGAUAUGCUUUUGACUCUCAUGAAAGGGAAGAUACUUCACAUUUUAAGAGGGCAGAACCCGUUUACUCUAAUGCAGGACGAUUUUCUGAUUAUCCAUGCCGGGAUUCUUUUACAAAAAAUCCUGAGAUGGAACAUCAGUUAAGAUGUAAAUAUGACAAAAACUGGUCUGGCGGUCGAAGCGUGAAAAGAAAGCUAGAUCCUCUUGAACUAUCAAUUUAUACAGAUGAUGAAUUGUUGGAAAGAGAUAGACCCCAUUAUGGGAGAAGACUCACUGUUCAGGAUAUGGACACCGUUCCUUUUCAUGAAUCGGAACAAUGGUUCGAUAAGUAUAUUUCCUAUUCAGAUGAUGAGAAUCCCAGUCAACGAAUGCGGAAAAUAGAUCAGCUGCCGAGUAAGAAGAGAGUGAGGACUGAUGAUCUUGUAACUGAAUGUAAUUACAUCUACGAUAUCAUGGAAGAGACUGAUAACAGAUAUAGACCAUACAACCACAGGGAUACUAAUAUUCUAGAAGAUGGCUAUCAUGUAAAUUUGACUUAUUUCAGAAGAGAAAUUAAAAGCCCCAGUAGGGGCAAAAGGAGAGAUGUCAGUCCUUGCAAAAGUUCAAAUGAUAUAUGUUUCAUGGAUCUAAAGGAUGAGGAAGGGAGAUUUGAUGGGUAUCGACCUCCAUCCUUUCGUUUGUAUAGAGAAUCUUGUACUUCUAGCAGAAGGUGGCAGAGCCCUGAACUGCCACGUGGCAGACACGGAAUAUUCAGUGGGACUAGGAAAUGUGAUGGUGGUGCUAAUUUGACCAACUCCAUUGGUUCCGAUCAGACGAGCAAGUAUCCUGGUAAUCAGGACAAUUUUAAAAGAAGAAGAGGGGGCCAGCAGUCUGAAGGGAUGCAAUGGGUUGAAGAUGAAAACAGUUCUAGGUAUCAGCAAAAUAUAUUCGAUGCUGAGAGGACGUCAUAUUCGUUCAGAAGAAGUUCAAGUGACCGAAGGUUUAAUUCAUUUGACAAUAAUCAUGGACCCAACCCAGUAGAAAAGCUUUUAGAUGAUAGGCAUGUGGAGCAGGAAAAAUACAAAUUGAUCAGGGAAGGCAAUAAUGCCAGUCAAUUUGGUCAAGGGUCUAAAGUUUUUCAUAAAGAUAAUCAUUGGAGGAGAUUCCCAAGAGGGAGAGAUUCUGUUGACACGGGCUUGAUUGUUGAGAACGGAGAGUCCUCCGGAAGAUGCUCCAAAGCAGGGGGUGUAACAUCCUUUGACAGGUAUAGCCACUUGGAUUCAGAUAGUUAUGUGGAGCUGAAGCCCAUCGAUGGAACUAGCAAACCCCAUUUCAGGAAGACACUCAGAACUCGAAAUGUGACGACUGAUCCUAAAGAAAAUGAUAAAGGAAGGCUUGAUAUAUUCUCAGAUGCCAACCAGGAAGAGUCUCUGGAUAUUGAAGAAGGUCAGAUAAUUGAAGAAAUGAACGAGAAAAUCAUUAAAAAGAGAAUCACAUGUUCUGGCAAAUCACAAAUCAGUGAAAUGAAGAAUUUCGCGUAUGAUAAAAAUGUGGAGGGACAGGACAACAACCCUAGGAUUUUGGAGAUCAUGGCAAAGAUGGAAAAGCGUGGAGAGCGUUUCAAGCAGCCUAUUGCUCUCAAAAGUGAUACAAAGAAUGUCUCUAAGCCUUUGGUUGAUUCGUUUGCUUUGUCAACUGAACCUAUGCAACCAAGACCAGCACGAAAGAGGAGAUGGGCUGCAAGCAAGGCAACUGUUUAAUGCUUGUAUUAGAGAAGGUGCGUCUCACUAUACCUUCAUAACUGGAUUUGUAUAUAGUGGCGUUUGAUUGAAGAAAUGGUUGCUGAUGGUAUAACUGGGGACGGGGUUAAGAAGUUUCCCAUGAAAAGAGGGAAAAAGAAAACACGUCUCAUAAAGAAUACUGUCUGUUUUGUUGCGCUAAAUGCGUUUUUUUUCCUCUGAAGUAUAAUUGAUUAUUUUGAUUUCAAAGGAUGCAAGGCUACCAGUGAUGAUGAAGUAGUGGUUUGGAAGCAACUUUCCUGUUUGAUUAUAUGGAUCUACAAGUUCAAGUUG